CGCCUGCGUCUGCCGCUGCUGGAGGGCCGCCGUCAAGAUUGUGCGCGUGCCGGAGGCUUCUGGGAAACUCACCUUCCCCAUCUCUCAAGCAGCCUGGCCCAAGGGAUGCCCCUCUCAAAUGUUUCAUCAGGAGGGACCGGGCUGCUCAGUCGUAUUCUCUGUGCCUUGGAGUCACUGAUGCUGAUGAUGGGAAAUUUCUACUUGCUGCACGCAAAUGUCGUAGGCCCGCAUGCACUGAAUACCUAAUCUCGCUUGAUGCGAAGAACACAUCGGCUGGUUCCUACAUUGGCAAGCUAAGAGCUGCGGUUUCAAAGGGGUACAUGAUCGGCUCAGCCCAAGUUUCUCCUGGGGUACCUGCUAGGAAUUAUAUGGUUUCUCACAUUUCUU